rnacentral:rRNA from 1 species
UACGUAGGGGGCAAGCGUUGUCCGGAUUUAUUGGGCGUAAAGAGCGUGUAGGCGGCCAGGUAGGUCUGCUGUGAAAACUCGAGGCUCAACCUCGAGACGUCGGCGGAAACCAUCUGGCUAGAGUCCGGAAGAGGAGAGUGGAAUUCCUGGUGUAGCGGUGAAAUGCGCAGAUAUCAGGAAGAACACCCGUGGCGAAGGCGGCUCUCUGGGACGGUACUGACGCUGAGACGCGAAAGCGUGGGGAGCGAGCAGG